UACAGAGGUCUCAAGCGUUGUUCGGAUUCAUUGGGCGUAAAGGGUGCGUAGGUGGCGCCGUAAGUGGGGUGUGAAAUUUCGGAGCUUAACUCCGAAACUGCAUUCCAUACUGCGGUGCUUGAGGACUGGAGAGGAGACUGGAAUUUACGGUGUAGCAGUGAAAUGCGUAGAUAUCGUAAGGAAGACCAGUGGCGAAGGCGGGUCUCUGGACAGUUCCUGACGCUGAGGCACGAAGGUCAGGGGAGCAAACGGG
rnacentral:rRNA from 1 species